AACCCUACUCUCUCAUUUCUCUUCAGCCGCCUCACGCCCUCACCCUCCUUCUUUUCUUUUCUUCUCUCUGAGUUCCAUCUUCCAUGCCUCCCUCUUCCAUACUUGGCCCUCUUCAUCAUGCUUUAAAAAAAACGAAGAUUAACGAAAAUCUGAGAGUGUUUAUUGUGUGGAUUUUGUUAAUUUUUGUGUGUAUUGAUACACUGUCGAUUAUCAACAGUUCCAACGAGAUCGACCUUUCUCUCGUCAGAAAACGCCCAAAACCGUUUCCAACCACCGGUGUCCGAAGUUCUCUCCACUUUUAACACCUGACGUUGCAAGAAGAGGAAGGAUUGCUGGAGGUUUCAAGUCUUUUUCUAUUCUAGAGGUGAAAUAAACACUGAUGGUUCCUUUUGUUUCAAGGGACUGAAGAGGGGCUAAUAAUUGAAAGAAUCCAAGCUGAGCCUGUGGAGGGUAAGAGACAGUUCAUCUAUCUUGGGGAUGGAGCACAGGUGUGAAAGAGAAGCUCUCAGAUAAAUACAAAGACAAAAUAGUUGAUUAGAAAAGAUUGGCAAAUGAGGUAGGUCCUAGGUCUCUAGGGCCAUAGGGAACACGUAUGACCACUUCUCUUUCUCACACGCACUUAUCUUCUACCUUCGAGUCUUUGACAUAACCUACACAUCUCUUUCUGUCUCUCAAAAUAUGUACUUGUAGUUGCUAUUGAUUGUCAUUUGAAGGUGCAUGAUUCUUAUGCAUUAUAUAUAUAUUGGAUAUUGGGGGGGGGGGGGGGGUGGGGAGCAUGUGAUGUGGCUAUAUUAGAAAAUCUAGACUUGAUGGCUGGGUGACAUUCUACUCUAAGUUAUAUCCCAAUGAUUCAAGGCAACGAUUACUCAUUUAUAGUUCUUGUUAACCAUAUGUUAACAUGCUUUUUUUGUUUGUUUGUUUUUGGUGUUUGUUUCAAAAAGGAAAUAGGUAUGGUACCAUGGUUGUAAGACAUACUUAGGGUGCUUCUGCAACUAUGUUUUGACCCUCAAAAACAUAUGCUGAAGGUUUCAUCGGCACUUUUCUUCAAUUACAACACCUUGAUGGGACUGCCAUAUCGGGUUUUGGUAGAUACUAAUUUCAUCAAUUUCUCUAUCUAGAAUAAACUGGAUUUGGAGAAGGGAAUGAUGGACUUCCUAUAUGCAAAAUGUGAGUUUAGAAUAACUGGUUUCUCAAUUUAAUGUGAAUAUUAAUUUGCUGCAAGAAUUGUUGUGCCGAGUUGAUGAGGUAUCCUAAGUUCAACAUAGUUGUUAAUGUGGUUUUAUAACAAGCAUUGAGUGCCAUGUAUCAUUGGCAAACACUUAAAUAUGUGUUGGUUGCUUAAUGAUAUUUAUCAAAAUAUUACUCUUGGUUGUGUGGAUGUCCAUGAGAAUGCUUAAGGAAUAAAAUGAUGAUCUUUUUUUUAA